UUGGAAGCGUCCCAGGAAAGCUCACUGGCCCCCUGGCCCUGCGUAAGACAGCAGCAGGAACACGAAGCUGACUGAACACCAGGCCUGCUCCCUGUUCUGGACCGUGUGCUGCCUGGUUCUGCUGCCGCUCCCCUGGCUUGAUUUCCUGGCAUCUGAGUUGUGGUGGUGAUCGCACGUUUGUCUUUUGCUGCUGAUCUUCCAAUGACCCGGCUGACUCUCCACUCCUGUCAUGGCUCCCCAUCCAUCCUGGAGCUGAACACCAGAUGGGAGCUGAUGGAUUGUCCUUGGUGGGCCAUGUUCUUGUGUGUGAUGAGAGGGCCAGGAGCAGAUGCACCACGCCUGGCCAGGACUGGGCUAAACAGCCUGUAAUGCUAGACAGUCAGCCCGUGAGGCCAGUUUGCAGAAUGUGGAAGAGCCCUUUGGCGAGGCGUUGGAGGAUUUACCAUGAAGGUAGCAGCAGCGGCAGUGCCUGGGGUCCCCAUGGGCCAAGCCUCUACUCCUGCCAAUCCAGGCUAAUCUCCCGCUGCUCUCAGUGGGGCUUGGCUUUAGCUGCUGGGCCUGUGAGCCUAGCCCAGGGGUCUCAAACACAAAUGACCACGAGGGCUGCAUGAGGACUAGUUCAUUGGCCCGAGGGCAGCAUCACUGACA